GGGCUUCAGAGGAGGAAGAGGAGGUGGUGGAUUCCGAGGAAGGGGACAUUAGCUGUCCAGUUGGCAGACCUGACCGCUUGUGUUCCCACUACGUGGCCUGCUUCUGCUGUGGUUGACAUCUGUGUCUGGAGCAGUCUGGAGGCCAUUCCGUCAGUGGAGCUGAGUCGGCAGCAUCACGUAGAAACAAGGGGAGCAGGACAGCCAGCUCUGCUCAGAGAGGAGAACCCCGCUUUGUACAGAACCUGGCACUCUGUGGGUGCUUAGAGAAGACAGGACUUUUCAUUUGAAGCAUAUUUGGAUUUUUUAAAUAAAAUUUUUUAUUUCCUUA